GUGGAGCCUGCGGCUUAAUUUGACUCAACACGGGAAACCUCACCAGGCCCGGACACCAGAAGGAUUGACAGAUUAAGAGCUCUUUCUCGAUUUGGUGGGUGGUGGUGCAUGGCCGUUCUUAGUUGGUGGAGUGAUUUGUCUGGUUAAUUCCGGUAACGAACGAGACUCUGGCCUACUAAAUAGUCGACGGGCGUUUUGGUGCAUGGGCCCCGUUCGACACAGUCUUCUUAGAGGGAUGAGCAGCGAGUAUAGCUGCAGGAGAUUGAGCAAUAACAGGUCUGUGAUGCCCUUAGAUGUCCUGGGCCGCACGCGCGCUACACUGAAUGGGUUAGCGGGUUGUCCUUCUCCGAGAGGAGCGGGAAAUCGCGUGAAAACCAUUCGUGAUAGGGAUUGGGGCUUGCAAUUGUUUCCCAUGAACGAGGAAUUCCCAGUAAGCGCAAGUCAUCAGCUUGCGUUGAUUAAGUCCCUGCCCUUUGUACACACCGCCCGUCGCUACUACCGAUUGAAUGAUUUAGUGAGGCCUUCGGACUGGCGGUCUUGGACUGGGGCGCCGGUUGUCUCCCAGCAAUGGGGUGCCGGCGACUCGCCUGGACGGGCCGGAAAGAUGUCCAAACUUGAUCAUUUAGAGGAAGUAAAAGUCGUAACAAGGUUUCC
rnacentral:rRNA from 1 species